rnacentral:rRNA from 1 species
CCUACGGGUGGCAGCAGUGGGGAAUAUUGGACAAUGGGGGGAACCCUGAUCCAGCGACGCCGCGUGAGUGAAGAAGUAUUUCGGUAUGUAAAGCUCUAUCAGCAGGGAAGAAAGAAAUGACGGUACCUGACUAAGAAGCCCCGGCUAACUACGUGCCAGCAGCCGCGGUAAUACGUAAGGGGCAAGCGUUAUCCGGAUUUACUGGGUGGAAAGGGAGCGUAGACGGCGAUGCAAGUCUGAAGUGAAAGGCGGGGGCUCAACCCCCGGACUGCUUUGGAAACUGUAUGGCUGGAGUGCAGGAGAGGUAAGUGGAAUUCCUAGUGUAGCGGUGAAAUGCGUAGAUAUUAGGAGGAACACCAGUGGCGAAGGCGGCUUACUGGACUGUAACUGACGUUGAGGCUCGAAAGCGUGGGGAGCAAACAGGAUUAGAUACCCUAGUAGUC